rnacentral:lncRNA from 1 species
GACUCACAGCCUCUCUGUGUCAAUAGACAGAGUCAGCCCAGAGUUAUGACUUCACAGAAAGAUGAAGCAAAAGCUGGGAGACGAGGCAGGACCAGCUUUAAAAGAAGGCUGUAAGCUCAGACAACAAGUAGCAAAAGAAACACUGACCACUCACAGGCUGGGUAAUUGCAUUCGUUGCUUCUUUUUAUUUCUUGCUCGUCUCCUAGAAAAGAACAACUCUGACUUUGACUUCAUCCUUUCAUUGCAUUAACAUUGACGGGGGACAUGGUCAUUGUCAGGGCUAUGACUUUGCCUGGUGCUCCAUAUACAUUGUUAUCUCAUUCUGUUCUCAUAGCAAUUCUAUAAGGGAUUCAGAACCUGCGGAUGUGGAGGGCCAGAGGGCUGAAUUUGCAAGUUGGGCAAUGGGGAAAGCCUUCACAAAGGAGAAAGCCUUUGGGCUGGAAUUGGAGGAGUAGGAGUCAAUAGAGAGAGAAGAGAGUAAAGGGCAAGGCCAUCAUUCCAGGUUUAGGGAGCAAGUACAAAGACACAGAGAAAUGAAAAGGCUUGGCCUGUUUGGAGAAUGUCAAGCUGUCUGGGGUUGAGAGAAAGACAUUCUAACAAGGCUUCCAUUAAAGAGGCUAGAUUUGCUGCUUGGACAUUUUCUAGCUCUUCUGAGACAACUUUUUGUUGAGUUAAGCGAAAAUGAAUGAAAAUCAGAUGGACCAUAUUUCUCUUGAAUGCACACGGGCUUAAAAACGAAGGGGAAAAAGAACUUGACAGAAUGUGUCUUGGCUUUUGCCAAACCCAAAGUAUUUGAAAAAUCACACAGUACACAUCUCGAACCCAAAAACAUGCCUGGAUUCUACCACCCCUAACUGCAGCUGCAGCCAUUUAAUAAAAUGAAUUGUGUACAAGAAA